rnacentral:rRNA from 1 species
UACGUAGGGCGCGAGCGUUGUCCGGAAUUAUUGGGCGUAAAGAGCUUGUAGGCGGUUUGUCGCGUCUGCUGUGAAAAUCCGGGGCUCAACCCCGGACUUGCAGUGGGUACGGGCAGGCUAGAGUGUGGUAGGGGAGACUGGAAUUCCUGGUGUAGCGGUGGAAUGCGCAGAUAUCAGGAGGAACACCGAUGGCGAAGGCAGGUCUCUGGGCCACUACUGACGCUGAGAAGCGAAAGCAUGGGGAGCGAACAGG